GGGAAGUUGGCUCAGUGGUAGAGUGCUUGCCUUGAAUGCAUGAGGCCCUGGGUUUGAUUCCUCAGCAUCACA
rnacentral:tRNA from 1 species